rnacentral:rRNA from 1 species
CCGACACGUUGAACGCAUAUGGCGCAUCGGACGUUUCAACCCGACCGAUGUACACAUUCUUGAGUGCCUAC